UCCCUGGUGGCUCAGAAGGUAAAGCAUCUGCCUGCAAUGUGGGAGACCCGGGUUCGAUUCCUGGGUCGGGAA
rnacentral:tRNA from 1 species